rnacentral:tRNA from 1 species
GCGGGGGUGGCAGAGCCAGGUCAAACCUGACGGCCAGAUGCGCGGGACUCAAGAUCCCGUCCCGAAGGGGUUCGUGGGUUCAAAUCCCACCCCCCGCACCA